rnacentral:rRNA from 1 species
GGGUCAGUAGGUUGGUCGUGCCACUGGUAUGUACUGGCCUUACUGAUUCCUCCUUCUUGAAGAACUGUGAUGUCAUUUACUUGGUGUUGCAGGGAAACAGGACUGUUACUUUGAAAAAAUUAGAGUGUUUAAAGCAGGCCGAUGCCUGAAUACAUUAGCAUGGAAUAAUGAAAUAGGACGUUGAUCUUAUUUUGUUGGUUUCUAGGAUUGACGUA